UCUACAGUUGAUACAGAAGAUCACAAAGACUCUAAUCCUGCCUCCUCUUCCUCCUUAAGUACACCAUGGAUCAUCAUUGCCGUCUUGUUGAUGCUUCUCUUGUUGGUUGUGGGACUACGUCAGUUUGGCAGAUUUGCCUGUCACAGAGUCUCUGUACAGGCCAGUGCAGCUGAAGCAAGCCGAGCAAUGUAUGCUACUGUAACGAAGAACAAGAAGAAGAACGCAGAGUCCUGUAUUUCAUCAGCGACCCAACACCCCAUUGACACUGACAUCUUCUAUUCUACAAUUCGGGAUGUUGCCGAGCACUGAGGAGCUUCAUGAUCUACAUAAAAACUAGGAAAUGACACAGUUAGAGCCAAUACUGUUGUUGUUAUUGUACAAGCUAAAAAAAAUAAGAAAGAAAACGCAUUGAGCUUGACGGUGUGUGCACUUUAACCAACAGCACUGCUGCUGCUUCUAAACACAACACAGUUAGCUGCAUAUCUGAAGGGGUUAUAUUGCUUUUAAAUAGAAAAGAAUAAAAGU